AACUUCUGAGCAGGCUCUGCAGUGGUGCUGCUGGGCUUCUUCUGCUUUCCUUCUAGAGCAAGAGCGUGGCUUCUUCACCCGGCAUUCCUGGGAGAGAUGAAGGCUUUCAACACAGGCCCUGCCCUCCCUUACAGUGCUACAAUCCUCCCAGCUCUCACCCACCGCACCAGGUCACCCAGGGUAAAAUGGGGAAAGAUGAGAAGUCCUUCUGCCUGCACCAUCCAGACAUUCAGCUUACCGAGGGCUGCUUCUGGGGGUCUGCAGUGAGCAAGCAUUAAAAGCAAGGUGCAGGCACGCCUCUGAUGAAUGCAAAUAGAGGUUGGGCUGUGGUUUGGGAUGUGGAAUCCAGAUGCAUUUUUACAGAGACAGCGACAGGCUCCGAUCCCCAGCACAGCUUCUGUGCCAAGUGUCUCCUCUGUUCCAGCCUCUCUCAGUGCAGAAGUGCUCUUCAAAAUAAAGAGACACAAAGCUUAAACAUUCAUGAAAUUACUUCUUCAGCUUUAAUCUCCAUGAAAUAUGACCGCGCAUUUAAUGAAGGGCUGUGUUGUGUGUGUUUGUGUGUGUAACUUUUCCCUUUUGCUCCCUUCUGAAAAGAAAAAAAAAAAAGAAAAAAAAAAAAGAAAAAAGAAAAGAGAAACAACUUGAGAGAGCAAUUAUGGAAAAUUUCAGGCUUAAUGGUUAAAGCGUGGCCAACUGGUAAAGUAAUUGGAAACACAAGGGUAGAAAGGAAAGUGUUUGGCAACACGGGUAUUGUGCUUUGGGAUGAAAGGUGCUAUGUAACUGGAGGACUCUUUUUUAUUGCAAGCUCUCCUCUCUGAUGUGUUAAUUGUGU
rnacentral:lncRNA from 1 species